CGUCCUCUCGUCUGAACCUUCAAAAAAGUGGUCUUGAUUCUGGGAUGAGACCAAAACCAAGACCUUCACAGAGUGGUCUUGAUUCUGGGACGAGACCAAAACCAAGACCUUCAAAAAGUGGUCUUGAUUCUGGGACGAGACCAAAACCAAGACCAUCACAGAGUGGUCUUGGUUUUGAGUCCAUGUUGUUUGUGUGUUCCUCUACUCGUCCUGUUCAGGCUGGUUUAAUGAGUUAAAUGAGUUUACCAUGCGGAUGGGUUUGCAGGAUCCCAUGUGGUCGUUGUGGGAGUUCCACCUCUGGAACUCUGGGUAUUCUCCGUGCUCCAGGAUGUACUGCUGGCCCUUAAAGUCGGGGUGGUCGAAGCAGAUCCAGGCGCCGCUCUCCACACGGAUGGAGUUCACCCUGAAAAAAAAAAAGACAAACGUUUAUCAGAACCUGAAGAGUCUCUGUGUGAGCUUUGAAGCAGGAAGUAAAAAACCCUGACCAGGUGUGACCAGGUGUGACCAGGUGUG